rnacentral:rRNA from 1 species
GUUUGAUCCUGGCUCAGGACGAACGCUGGCGGUGUGCUUAACACAUGCAAGUGGUGCGACGAACCAGAGCUUGCUCUGGGGCAAAGCCGCGAACGGGUGAGUAACACGUGGGUAAUCUACCCCGAUGACCGGGACAACCCGAGGAAACUCGGGCUAAAUACCGGAUGUGGUACGGAGACAUAAGUCUCUUUACUAAAGGUAGCUUCGGCUUCCGCAUUGGGAGGGCCCGCGGCCCAUUAGCUAGUUGGUGGGGUCAAGGCCUACCAAGGCAACGAUGGGUAGCUGGUCUGAGAGGACGAUCAGCCACACUGGGACUGAGACACGGCCCAGACUCCUACGGAGGCAGCAGUGGGGAAUCUUGCGCAAUGCGCGAAAGCGUGACGCAGCAACACCGCGUGAGGGAAGACGGCCUUAGGGUGUAAACCUCUUUCAGAUGGGACGAAGGUGAUGCGGUGAAUAGCCGAUGUCAUUGACGGUACCGUCAGAAGAAGCUCCGGCUAACUACGUGCCAGCAG